CAUCUCAACAUGGCUGUCAUUUUUUCCCACCAGGCAAACACCACGUUACUGGGAAGGCCGACCAAAGAAGAAAAUGCCCACGUCGCUCUCUGCAGCCACAACCUCUUGGGUCACAACUGAACAAAAAGCAGAAGCUUCAGGUCCUCCUCCCGGGAAGAAAUGCUUGAGGAUCUUUGCCCUCCGAUGUCGUCCACACGUGCAGACGUCUCUGUCAUUCUAGGAUCACGACCUCGCUGGACUCCAGGAUCUGGAUUCGUCCACACACGCAUGCACGUGAAUCUUGACACUAAAAAAUAAAGUGAGAUUUAGCUCGAA